rnacentral:rRNA from 1 species
CCUACGGGCGGCAGCAGUAGGGAAUUUUCGUCAAUGGGCGCAAGCCUGAACGAGCAAUGCCGCGUGAACGAGGAAGGUCUUCGGAUCGUAAAGUUCUGUUGAAGGGGAAAAAGAGCGGAGAGAGCAAAUGGUCUCCGAUUGAUAUUACCCUUCGAGGAAGUCACGGCUAACUACGUGCCAGCAGCCGCGGUAAUACGGAGGUGGCGAGCGUUAUCCGGAAUGAUUGGGCGUAAAGGGUGCGUAGGCGGCCUGCUAAGUCUGGAGUGAAAGGUACCGGCUCAACCGGUACAGUCUCUGGAAACUGGCGGGCUAGAGAGCAGGAGAGGGCGGUGGAACUCCAUGGGUAGCGGUAAAAUGCGUAGAUAUAUGGAAGAACACCAGUGGCGAAGGCGGCCGCCUGGCCUGUUGACUGACGCUGAGGCACGAAAGCGUGGGGAGCAAAUAGGAUUAGAUACCCUAGUAGUC